rnacentral:rRNA from 1 species
UACGGAGGGAGCUAGCGUUGUUCGGAAUUACUGGGCGUAAAGCGCACGUAGGCUGCUUUUUAAGUCAGGGGUGAAAUCCCGGGGCUCAACCCCGGAACUGCCUUUGAAACUGGAGAGCUAGAAUCUUGGAGAGGCGAGUGGAAUUCCGAGUGUAGAGGUGAAAUUCGUAGAUAUUCGGAAGAACACCAGUGGCGAAGGCGACUCGCUGGACAAGUAUUGACGCUGAGGUGCGAAAGCGUGGGGAGCAAACAGG